AGAACGAACGCUGGCGGCAUGCCUAAUACAUGCAAGUCGAACGAAGGCUUCGGCCUUAGUGGCGCACGGGUGCGUAACGCGUGGGAAUCUGCCCCUUGGUUCGGAAUAACAGUUGGAAACGACUGCUAAUACCGGAUGAUGACGAAAGUCCAAAGAUUUAUCGCCAAGGGAUGAGCCCGCGUAGGAUUAGCUAGUUGGUGAGGUAAAGGCUCACCAAGGCGACGAUCCUUAGCUGGUCUGAGAGGAUGAUCAGCCACACUGGGACUGAGACACGGCCCAGACUCCUACGGGAGGCAGCAGUAGGGAAUAUUGACAAUGGGCGAAAGCCUGAUCAGCAAUGCGCGUGAGUGAUGAAGCCUUAGGUUGUAAAGCUCUUUUACCCGAGAUGAUAAUGACAGUAUCGGAGAAUAAGCCCCGGACUAACUCCGUGCCAGCAGCCGC
rnacentral:rRNA from 1 species